rnacentral:rRNA from 1 species
UACGUAGGCAGCGAGCGUUUUUCGGAAUUACUGGGCGUAAAGAGUGUGUAGGCGGUGCUCUAAGUUCGGUGUGAAAUCUCCUGGCUCAACUGGGAGGGUGCGCCGGAAACUGGAGUGCUAGAGGGUGGGAGAGGUAAGCGGAAUUCCUGGUGUAGCGGUGAAAUGCGUAGAUAUCAGGAGGAACACCUGUGGUGUAGACAGCUUACUGGACCACUUCUGACGCUGAGACACGAAAGCGUGGGUAGCAAACAGG